UAAGGAAUAUUGCGCAAUGGGCGACAGCCUGACGCAGCGACGCCGCGUGGGGGAUGAAGGUCUUCGGAUUGUAAACCCCUUUCGGCAGGGAAGAUGGAACGGGUAACCGUUCGGACGGUACCUGCAGAAGCAGCCACGGCUAACUUCGUGCCAGCAGCCGCGGUAAUACGAAGGUGGCAAGCGUUGUUCGGAUUUACUGGGCGUACAGGGAGCGUAGGCGGUUGGGUAAGCCCUCCGUGAAAUCUCCGGGCCUAACCCGGAAAGGGCGGAGGGGACUGCUCGGCUAGAGGAUGGGAGAGGAGCGCGGAAUUCCCGGUGUAGCGGUGAAAUGCGUAGAGAUCGGGAGGAAGGCCGGUGGCGAAGGCGGCGCUCUGGAACAUUUCUGACGCUGAGGCUCGAAAGCGUGGGGAGCAAACAGGAUUAGAUACCCUGGUAGUCCACGCCUUAAACGAUGGAUACUAAGUGUCGGCGGGUUACCGCCGGUGCCGCAGCUAACGCAUUAAGUAUCCCGCCUGGGAAGUACGGCCGCAAGGUUG
rnacentral:rRNA from 1 species